CCACUUAUGGCGCAGUGGUUAGCGCUCUUGCCUCAGCAAGAAGGGCCUUGGUUCAAGUCCCGGCUGCGUGGA
rnacentral:tRNA from 1 species